UUCAACAUCGCAAUCCUCAGACAGUAUUGCUGUACAGUUUUGUAUUUUCCCCCACGAGGCUCGAUUUUGUAUUAAGCUUCGUCCUGCUUCAAUUAAGACAUAUAAUCUAGAAAUGGAAAGAUUUCACUGAGACACUGGAAUACCUUCAAAGUUGGUUUGAAAUCUUCAAGAAUUUUUUUUUUAAACCGGCACUGUUUGAAUGAAUUUGUAUCAUUAUUCGUCAGGAAAAAUGUCCAAACUGAAAGGAACACUGAAGAAAAAUGGAAUUACACCGAAAACUCUGAAUAAAAUGAGAAUUGAAACGCAAGACCACAAUGUACUUCCUCCAUCAGGGAUGUGUUUUCCUGUUUACACACUGGAUUUCCUCAGAUAUCAGCGCGGAAAGGCAAUAAAAAAAGAUGACAGAAACAUUUCGGCAUUCUGAGAGAAAAAAAACGUUGAUUCCUAACAAUGAUUUAAAAAGCUUCCUCCCCAGCCCCUCACACUGCACACCGGAAGCGGCCAGAAUUAAAAACUUGACGGAUUCGAGGACUGUGUCACAACAAAUGAUUAUCAACGGGCAUGCUUACACUCCGUUCGAUUAAGGCUUUAGAACUGGUGGGCCCAUUGACUGUGCAGUAAAAUCUUCAGUAUAAGGAAAACAACUGAUCAUUCUUCAUAUUAAAGUUCACUCUGUGUAAGAAUGUGAUUCGGCGAAUGCGGUUUAAUUUUGAGGCACGAAAAGGGGAUCUCAAUGCAAACUUUUAAUCUUUAAUUGAAACCACAAAGCGAACGGAAGAU